rnacentral:lncRNA from 1 species
UUUUUGGAGAAGACAAACAUCAUCACUCUGAACAUCACCCCUCCUUCUUACCCCCAGCUUUAAUUGCUGAGCACAAUACCAUAUGGCAUGGGGCAUUGCUUUGGCCAGUCUGAGUCAGCUGUCUCAUUUCUGACCCCUCCCAGCUCCUUGUGCCCCCCAGCUCCUUGCUGGCAGGGCAACGUGAGGAACAGGAAAGUUCCUGGCUCUAGCUCACAAGAGCUCUCUGAAGGGAUCCUUGGCUGUCCCUGCACUGGGGCUGAGGACAGACCCAGCCAUUGUGGUGGAAGAUGCUAGCCCCAGCUGCCUGCCUCCAGCAUCUAGCCAGAGGUUACACCCCACAAACACGCAGAAUACAGAAUAAAAGUAAAUAACACAGUGGGGAUUUUCCACCAUCUGCUAUAGAUAGCAUCACCAGUGUAGUACAAUAAC